UGUAGCAACAGAGCCGCUGUCUCAACGAGUGAGUCGGCGAAAUUGUAGUAUCGGUGAAGAUGCCGGUUACCUGCAUCAAGACGAAAAGACCCCGGAACCUUUACUGUACUCUGGUACUGGAUUUUGAUCCUGUAUGUGUAGCAUAGGUGGGACGCUUUGAAGCCUGGGCGCUAGCUUGGGCUGAGCGGAAAUGUGAAAUACCACCCUUAUUGUAUUAGGAUUCUAACCUGCGGCCCUAUAUCGGGCCGAGGGACAAUGCCAGACGGGCAGUUUGACUGGGGCGGUUUCCUCAAGAAUAAGGGGACUAUGAUGGGAGACCAUCAUAAGCAAAUUUAGCUGUAUGCUGGGAAAUCUGAGCAUGUCCGUCUACUUAAAGAGAUUUAAGUGAAAAUGGCGGGACGCAGAUAAUCAGCAGGGAAGACCCAUGCUUUCUUGCGAAAGCAAGAAUGGGUCCCCUCAACGACUACACGCUGAACCCCCAUGCUUUCUUGCGAAAGCAAGAAUGGGGGGUGAUAUAGUCUGAACUUCCAGGCGACUGGAAGCCCUAUAGAAGUAGAGGGAGUCUAGCCUCCUUAACACAGGGAGUGGUGAUGCGAUCAAAUGAUAUCGAAAAGUAUAAGAGCAGUUUAGCGCUGAACGCUGAGCAGAAAGAAGUGCUUGUGGGUACUCUUUUGGGAGACGCGACAUUGGAAACCCAAAACAAAGGGAAGACCUACAGGAUCAAGAUAGAGCACGGUGUCAGCCAGAAAGCUUAUACAGAACAUCUUUACGGUAUCUUUAAAGACUGGGUGCUUACCCAGCCUAAAGUUCGACAAGUGACGCUAUCAAACGGCAAAACCUAUGGCAAGAUAGGAUUUUCGACAUUGAGCCAUGGAUCGCUGAGAUUUUACGCGCAUCAAUUUUAUCCGCGCGGCAAAAAGAUAGUGCCAAAACUUAUCGAGCGGUGGCUGACGCCCAAAGCGAUAGCGUAUUGGUUCAUGGAUGAUGGGUCAGUAAAGUCCAAGGAGUCCAAGGGAGUGAUUUUCAAUACGCAUGGAUAUCGAAUAGAAGAUGUGGCAAGGCUUGUAGAGGUAUUGAAGAACAAGUUCUUGCUGGAAGCGAAAGUUAGGAAACAGAAAGAAGGAUAUCAGAUCUAUGUUUCAGGCAAUAGUUAUGAGAAUUUCAAGAAUUUGAUCACAUCAUAUAUAUUGCCGGAGAUGAAGUAUAAAAUACCAGAGUCUAGACGAACACAUUUGCCUAAAUUGUAACGGAGGUGUACAAAGGUUCCCUCAGUGCGGACGGCAAUCGCACGCUGAGCGCAAAAGCAAAUGGGAGCUUAACUGUGAGGCCAACAAGCCGAGCAGGUACGAAAGUAGGUUUUAGUGAUCCGGUGGUUGGCGUGUGGAAGCGCCAUCGCUCAACGGAUAAAAGGUACUCCGGGGAUAACAGGCUGAUUUCCUCCAAGAGUUCACAUCGACGAGGAAGUUUGGCACCUCGAUGUCGGCUCAUCACAUCCUGGGGCUGGAGAAGGUCCCAAGGGUCCGGCUGUUCGCCGGUUAAAGUGGUACGUGAGCUGGGUUCAGAACGUAAAUAACAUUGCGUUCUACCGCAGAAAUGCGGUAUAAUAAAUCUGACUUAUAUCGGUGAAACCCUAAUUGAUUUCCGAACUUUCAAAAGGGCAAUACCGAGGGAAGAUCAGAUUGGUGUCAAGCGAAGAAAUUGCUUAUUACGGCAGAGUUUUCUGUAAUAGCUUCGCUUGAAUCUACAAGCCAAUCUGUAUCCCUGUAGAGACUGAGGCUUAGGCCGAGAUAGCUCCGAAAGGAACUAUAAUACGUCAGCCCCUCCUCAAAGCAAGCGAGAGGGUGAAGAUAUAGUCCAUGCCAUUAGUAAUAAUGGAAUAACAUGCGUGAGACAGUUCGGUCUCUAUCUGAUGCAGGCGCAGGAUAUUUGUGGGGCCCUGUCCCUAGUACGAGAGGACCGGGACAGACAAACCAACGGUGUUCCAGUUAUCACGCCAGUGGUAUUUGCUGGGUAGCCGCGUUCGGAAAGGAUAAACGCUGAAGGCAUCUAAGCGUGAAGCCUACCCCAAG
rnacentral:rRNA from 1 species